UUUUAUAAAUUUCAUAUUAAAAUUUUAUUAAGUUCUUUGUUAUCUAAGGAGAAUUGUUAUCUUUAGCCUCACAUGUUGUGCUUAUUUGUAGAAUCAAGAUUAGAAGGAUGGCUUUCAUUGCCUGUACGAAACAACACUAAGAAAUUUGGAUGGGUUAAAAAGUAUGUGAUUGUAAGCAGUAAGAAGAUUCUUUUCUAUGACAGUGAACAAGAUAAAGAACAAUCCAAUCCUUACAUGGUUUUAGAUAUAGAGUAAGUGUUUUUGUUAGAAUAUUUAGAAACUAUAUCUUUUAAAGUAUAAGAGACUAACAAUGCAAUUUAUUAGUCUCAUAGUAUAGCUCCUACUGUAAUAUUGUUACAUUUUCCUGUGAUUUGCUUCAUACAGAUGAAAGUCUGGGAUACAGGGUUAGUUAAAACAUCUUUAUUUCAUGGGCCUUUGAUACAUUAUUUUUUGAAACUAAUUAGAAAAUUUCUGACAUAGAGGUUUCUAAAAAUCUUAAUUAAUUAUAGAAUUAAUAGAACAAAAUAUUCUGAGUUCCUAACAUGGGUCAAAGUAGUCAGUGUUUAACGUCUGAUGUAAGUAUAGAAUAAUUAAUAU
rnacentral:lncRNA from 1 species